rnacentral:rRNA from 1 species
AGAACGAACGCUGGCGGCGUGGAUUAGGCAUGCAAGUCGAACGCGAAAGAGGGGGUAACUCCUCGAGUAGAGUGGCGAACGGGUGAGUAACGCGUGAAGAACCUGCCUUCAACAGGGGGAUAACACUCCCAACGGGGUGCUAAUACCGCAUGAGACCACGGGAUCGCAUGGUCCUGAGGUCAAAGGUGGCCUCUAUUUAUAAGCUACCGGUUGAAGAUGGCUUCGCGUCCCAUUAGCUAGUUGGCGGUGUAAAAGACCACCAAGGCGACGAUGGGU